rnacentral:lncRNA from 1 species
GGCUCGCUCAUGCCUGUCUCCUUUUUUCUUUGUGGGCCACUCAGCCAACUGACGUCGCCUCCUCUGUCUGGAUGUCCAGUUUCUGUGGCUCACUCCUCAGGCCAGAUUGUCUGGGACUGGGGGUGGCCUCUGGGCUCCUGUAGACUUCCACAGCCAGGAUUUCACAUCCCUCCCCAGAGCCUCUGACCGAACAGCCACAGGCGGGCAUGAGUGUCAUGCCUGGACUGAGCUGGAGAGACAAAGGCGUUUGUGGCAAGGGCCCAGCUGGAAGCCCUGGCAGACCAGAGCAUGCAUGUGCUGGCUUGCACGAGCACACUUUGGUGUUUGUGCUGGGGACACCGGGCUUCUGAGGGACUGGCAUGGCUCCAGGGAGGGGAGCAGCCUGGUUGAAGCGCGGCCAGGCACUCACUCCUUUGUUCAGAUCCCAGCUCCACUGCCUGCUGUGUCCACAGUCUCCUCACCUGUCAAAUGGGAAUGUCUCUGUGGCGGGAGGGUGCUGAGGUUUCCAUGAGCUAAUCUGCCUGCCAUGUAGAAACUAGUAGCUUCUCUUACUGUUAGUGAAUUUGUUUUAGUCUGAAGGAGGCACCCAUGCCCCGGGUGAGGACGAUGGAGACCCUGGUCUCGGCACACUUCGCCUCACACUAGGAAUGCCCCGGGCUUGCGCCCGCUGUGUGUCUGUGCUGGUCACUUUCUGUUGGUCUCGAGAGACCGAUUCAGGUGUUCAGGAGUCUAUGUUCACUGUUACAUCACCCCCUUGUGAGGAAUAAAGUGGAGCAGCCUCAUCCGGACAGCGAAGCAGGGAGGGAGCGUGGGGAGCAGCCAGGUGAGCUGGUGGCAUGGGGUCCGCUGCGCGGAGACUGGCCUCGCUGCUUCGUGUGGCUCAGGGAGGCUCAGCACGUCCAUCAUCACACUUCAGGGCAGUGAGAGUGGACCUGGUGCCUUCAGAAGCUGUCCCGAGGCCUGCUGCUCUGGCCUGCAAAGGUGGAGUCACCAAAGCUCAUUACAAGGUGUUUGCUUA